UGCAAGCGAUGAUACAAAAAAAAACUAUUCGUUGUAGAGAAUAUGAAAUAAUCAAAAUUUGAAUAAUAAUUUUUUAUCCUAUGUCACGUCCGUUAUUAAGUUAAUUUGUUUAGUGCGUAACUGAAGUAAAAAAACUCUGUUCCACAUCCUGAGGAAAUUCCAAUUCUUAUUAAUAAUAUCGGGGUUUAAAAUAAAAAAAAAGUUCUUUUUAAUAAAAAGUAUUUUUUUGGUAGUUAAUAAAAUUUUAUUAUCAGUAAAUCAUAAUAAUAUAUAAUAUAAUGACUUUUCAAGUAUUUAACCGAUUAAAAAAAUCUAAUUGUGUCAGUUAAUCAAAGAACUCGCACGUUGUUAACACAAUUACUACAAUUAUCAAGUGGUUAAGUGAAGUUAAUUAAUAUAAAAAUUGUAAUCAUGGUGAAUUUAUGUUAUAUUAUUUUAAUUACAAUUUUAAUAACAUCCAUUGUCACAGAAAAUGAAUGUAAUGUUAUUAAUGAUCAACGAUGCAUGAACAAAAAUUAUCCGUGCACUGAUAGUGCGAAGUGCUGUGGAAAUUUGAAAUGCAUAAAAUACUCUACGGAAUUUCGAUCUUCCUGUAAACGAUCAACAAUGGCGAUACCUAAUAUAGGAUAAUAUAUAACAAUAGCAGAGGAAGGUGGGGCAAAACGGGGUACUUAAGGAAAUACUAAGUUUUCGAGGACUCUAAUACACAAAUUUUUUUUGAUUUUAAUUAUAUUCAAAGUAAAUAAAAAAAAUUUCAGUUGCCGGUUAAACAAAAAAAUGUUCACUUUUGCGGGCAAAAUGGGGUACCUUCUAAGGUGAAAAAAAAAAUUUCUCCAUAUUAAAUAAAUUUGAUUAAAUUAAAUUUUUUUUUUGUAAGUAAUUUACAUAAAGAAAAAUUAAAUUUUACGCCAUUAUUGGAUGCAAAAGAAAAAAAAACAAAUUUUUCAUAAUUUUUAUCAUAAAACAGAAGCCAUUAACAAUUUUCGACUAACACUCGAUUUUUGAAAAAGUUCAACAAAAAAUAUUCAAAAUAAUGCUCAAUUCUAUUUACAAAAGUGAUUUUGGAAUGUUUAAAAACAUUUAAAAAAUAAUUUUUUUUUUUAUAAAAUUUUGGGAGUACCCCGUUUUGCCCCCCCCCCCUCCCGACCUUCCUCCAAUAGUAAUGAUUACUUAUAAAAUGAAUAAACUAUUUUAAAAUAACAAACUGUUUAGAUUUUAAAAACUUUUAAAUGUUUAAAGCAACGAUUAAAUUAAUUAUAAAACAAGUUUUCAAAUUGAAUGUAUAAUAAAUAUGAAUAAUGACCAAUACGCGCAGUUGAAUUGAUUACAAUCACAAAACCUGAUGUUUAUAAUAAUAAUUAUUAUUGCAAACACAUCUGCAG